CGGCAACAGCUCAAAUUUGAAAGCUGGCCUUCGGGUCCGCAUUGUAAUUUGUAGAGGAUGCUUUGGGGCAGCCGCCUGUCUAAGUUCCUUGGAACAGGACGUCAUAGAGGGUGAGAAUCCCGUAUGUGACAGGACAUGGCACCCUAUGUAAAGCUCCUUCGACGAGUCGAGUUGUUUGGGAAUGCAGCUCUAAAUGGGAGGUAAAUUUCUUCUAAAGCUAAAUACCGGCGAGAGACCGAUAGCGCACAAGUAGAGUGAUCGAAAGAUGAAAAGCACUUUGGAAAGAGAGUUAAAAAGCACGUGAAAUUGUUGAAAGGGAAGCGCUUGCAAUCAGACUUGUUUAAACUGUUCGGCCGGUCUUCUGACCGGUUUACUCAGUUUGGACAGGCCAGCAUCAGUUUCGGCGGCCGGAUAAAGGCCCUAGGAAUGUGACCCCCUCUUCGGAGGGGGUGUUAUAGCCUGGGGUGUAAUACGGCCAGCCGGGACUGAGGUCCGCGCUUCGGCUAGGAUGCUGGCGUAAUGGUUGUAAGCGACCCGUCU
rnacentral:rRNA from 1 species